AAAUAGGAAGUUACCACAAAGGACUCAAUCAUGUGUGAAUUACAAGUUAAAUUAUGAAACAAGAUUGUAUUUAUGGGUGACCAGAGUCUAUUUUGCUUGUGGAAAGUUGGAUCAUAAAAUAAGAGACUGCCCCUUGAACAAAAAGAAAGAGUCACUGCCUCUUAAAUCAUCAACCCAUGUUAGAGUAUAUGCUAUCACUAAAUAUGAUUCUGAAACUUCUGAAUUAGUGGUCGAAGGUAUUAUGCAUGUUUAUGAAAGAAUGUAAAUAUUUGUUUGACCAUGGGUCCUAUCUAGAUUUGAUUCGUAAUAUUUUGCUUAUCACUUGGACAUUCAACCUAGACCACUACAUUAUGUGAUAUAUGUAAAUACAAUCAUUGGAGAUUCUUUGAUAACGGACUUGAAUAUGGUCCUCUUGUCUGAUUUUAUUAGAGAACUUGAACUUUUUGCUGAUUUAGUUCUCCUAGAGAUUUUGAGUUUUGAUAUUAUACUUGGUAUGGAUUGGCUAUCUUCAUAUCAUACCAGUAUGGAUUGUUAUAUAACAGAUGAUCACUUUUUGCAUAUUUAAUCAGUCGAUCUUUUAUUUUGAGAGUAUUGGACAUUAUUUAUCUCCUUGCCUAAUGUAUCCCAGGAUGACUUGCUUGGAUUACCUCCAAACGUGACUUUGCUUUUGAUUUGGUCCUUGGGACAAUCCCAAUACCUAAGCCUCUCUACAGAAUGAUAUAAUUUGAGUAAGUGGAAUUGGAAAAGCAACUAUAAGGACUAUUACAUGAGGAUUUUAUCUGGCUUAAUAUUUCAUCAUGGGGGGCUCCGGUGUUAGUUAAAAAGAUGGAUGGAACAUUGAGGCUUUGUAUUGAUUUUAGACAAUUGAAUCAGGUGACCAUAAAAAAAACGAGUAUUCUCUAAAGUAACGACUCGUUUGAUUUACUACAGGGUGCAUAAGUAUUUUCAAAGAUUGAUUGAAGGUCGAGUUACCAUCUAUUGAAAAUCAAGGAGGAGAAUAUUUUGGUCACUCUUGUAAAAUUGUGUAAUUGUAUUGUAUUGAUAAAAUUAUUUUAGAGCAGGAGGAGGAAAUAAAGAAAUCAUAAUCCUCAUCUUUUCAUCGAUUGAGCUAUGAUCAAUUUAGAGGACUAAAUUUUCUUUUAAGGGGGGGAGAGUGUAAUAUCCCUCACUUUUAAAAAUUAUUAAUAAAGAUUUAUUUAUAAAUUGGAGGACCUAUAUGUAAAUAUAAAAAUUUCAAGGACUAAACUGUUAAGUUACCAAAAAAAAAUAAAAAAUUUCGGUUUUAUCCCACCGCCUCCCACGCUCUCUCUGUUUCUCGAGAGAGGAGCGGUGGGGCGUAGGGAGAAGAAGAAGAGAAGUAGAGGGAGAAGAGAAGAAGAGGGAAAAGAAGAGAGGAAGAAGAGGGAGAAGAGAAUAAAAGAAGAAGAAGAAGAGAGGGAAGAGGGAGAGGAAAGAGAGAUAGCUGCAGCAGCUAGGGUUGCAGCACCUCUGUUUCGUGUUGGAGGAAACAGAGGAAUCCAUGUGGGGCGUCGGGGAGUAGAAGGGAAGAAGAGGAGAAGAAGAGGAGAAGAAGAGAAGCAGAGGAAGAGAAGCAAAAGAAGAAGAAGAAGAAGAAAAGAGGAGGUGGCUGCGGCAAGGGCUGCAGCGAGGAGCUGUGGGGCGUUGGGGAGGAGAAAGGAAGAAGAGGAGAAGAAGAAAAGAAGAAGAGGGAAAAGAAGAGAGGAGGAAGAAGAGGGAGAAGAGAAGAAUAGAAGAAGAAGAAAAAGAGAGGGAAGUGGGAGAGGAGCGAGAGGUGGCAGCAGCUAGGGCUGCAGCACCUCUGUUUCCUGCAGGUGGAAACAGAGGAGAGGUGUGGGGCAUUCGAAGAGGAGAAGAAGAAGAAGAGGAAGAGAAGAAGAAGAGGAAGUAGGAAGAGGUUAUGAUACCUCUGUAUCUUGUAGAGGAAAUAGAGGAGGUGUGGGGUGUCGGGUAGGAGAAGGGAAGAAGAAGAAGGAGAAGAAGGAAAAUAAGAAGAAGAGGAAGAGAAGAAGUAGAAGCGGGUGAAGAGGCGUCACCUUUGUUUUCUGCAGGAGGAAACAGAGGAGAGGAGGUGCUAUUCGUCGGGGAGAAGAAGGGGAGGAAGGAGAAGAAGAGAAGAAGAAGAAAGGAAGGAGAAAGAAGAGGAGAAGGGAAAGAAGUAGCUGCGGCUGCGGUUGUGGCAGCUGCAGCUGUGGCAGGGAAAGAGUAAGAGGAAGGAAGAAGGGAAGGAGAGGAAGAAGAGAAGGGGAAGAAGGGGCUGCGGCUGUGGCGAUGGCAGCUGCAGUUGGAAGAGAAGAAGGAGAGGAAGAUGAGCAGGGGAGGAAGAAGAGGCUGCGGCCGUGGCUGAGGCUGCGACUGCAGCAGUGCAGCUGGGAAAGAUGAGAAGGAAAGGAAGAAGAAGAGAAAGGAAAAGGGAAGAAGAGAGGAAGAGGAGAAGGGGAGGCAGCUGCGGUAGUGGCAGCCGCAGCUGGAAGAGAAGGAGAGGAAACAGAGUAGGAGAGGAAGAAGAGGCUGCGGUUGUGGUGGCCGCGGCGAUGGCUGCGACUGCAACUACAGCAGUUGCAGUUGGGAAAGAAAAGAAAGUAAAGGGGGAAAAAGGGGCUGUGGCCGUGAUUGCGGUUGCGGUGGUGGCGGCUGCGUCUGCGGCAGCUAUGUUUGGGAAAGAAAAAGUAGGAACGAGAGAAGGGAGGAAGGAAGUAGUGCAGUGGAA
rnacentral:lncRNA from 1 species